GCAAAGGCAAUGACUGAAAAAGUACGUUUACGAAAUAAUUCAGAGAGGCAAUGGUUGGUGAAAAUUGCUAUUAUUAAUAAACGGAAAGCUAUUCAUGAGCCGCAGAUUAUUAUAUCCUCCAAGAGAUAAAAAUUCUGCCGUCAGCCAGCGAUAAUGGCAACUUAAGUGGCUCUCACCAGUAGAGCCGAAUAAGGUGGUACCACGGGAAUAUGUCUCGUCCUUUGU
rnacentral:ncRNA from 1 species